AUUGAACGCUGGCGGCAUGCCUAACACAUGCAAGUCGAGCGGCUGCAGGGAGCUUGCUCCUGGAGUCAGCGGCGGACGGGUGAGUAAUGCCUAGGAAUCUGCCUUGUAGUGGGGGAUAACGUCCGGAAACGGGCGCUAAUACCGCAUACGUCCUGAGGGAGAAAGUGGGGGAUCUUCGGACCUCUCGCUCUCAGAUGAGCCUAGGUCGGAUUAGCUAGUUGGUGGGGUAAAGGCCUACCAAGGCGACGAUCCGUAACUGGUCUGAGAGGAUGAUCAGUCACACUGGAACUGAGACACGGUCCAGACUCCUACGGGAGGCAGCAGUGGGGAAUAUUGGACAAUGGGCGAAAGCCUGAUCCAGCCAUGCCGCGUGUGUGAAGAAGGUCUUCGGAUUGUAAAGCACUUUAAGUUGGGAGGAAGGGCAGUAAGUUAAUACCUUGCUGUGUUGACGGUACCAAAAGAAUAAGCACCGGCUAACUUCGUG
rnacentral:rRNA from 1 species